rnacentral:rRNA from 1 species
GUACGGGAGGCAGCAGUAGGGAAUUUUCCGCAAUGGGCGAAAGCCUGACGGAGCAACGCCGCGUGAGGGAUGAAGGUCUUCGGAUCGUAAACCUUUGUCUAGAGGGACGAUAAUGACGGUACCUCUGGAGGAAGCCACGGCUAACUACGUGCCAGCAGCCGCGGUAAUACGUAGGUGGCAAGCGUUGUCCGGAAUUACUGGGCGUAAAGGGCGUGUAGGCGGCCUUUUAAGUCAGACGUGAAAACCCUGGGCUUAACCCAGGACCUGCGUUUGAUACUGAAGGGCUUGAGGACCGGAGAGGACAGUGGAAUUCCCAGUGUAGCGGUGAAAUGCGUAGAUAUUGGGAGGAACACCAGUGGCGAAGGCGACUGUCUGGACGGCACCUGACGCUGAGGCGCGAAAGCCAGGGGAGCAAACGGGAUUAGAUACCCCUGUAGUCCC